rnacentral:sRNA from 1 species
AGUUAGGGAUAGCAGUGGAAAUCCUUUUUUGAGGUUUUUCCUGCCUCAAAAAAGAUUAUUUCACAAUAUGAUAUUUC